CGGAGGCGGGGCCCCAGGCGGCGGAGCCGGCCCAGCUGGGCGCGCUGCUGGUGGGAGACGGGCGGCCGCGGAAGAUGAAGAUCCAGUUUCGAACGUGAGAUUCACUGGGUGAUCAUUUCAUUGAAAUCAACUUGAAUGACCAGAUAAAAAGUGCAAGAGGAAUGUGCUGUGACUGAGAUAUUGUAUUUUUUACAAAUUGAAAAUAAGACCCUUUAUCAGCAAAAAGAUUACAACUCUCUGAAGGCUCAGAUGAUGUGCUACAAGAGCAUAUAACAAGAGAACCUGAUCUAGUCAUGGAAUCAGGGGAGAUUUCCCUGAAGAAGGAAAUUUGAGCUGACAUCAGAAGGCAACUCAAAAUUUUUCACUGCCAGUCUCUACUUCUUUGGUUCUGCAAAGGAAAAGUAUAUCUCCAGCAGCCCCUAAAGCCCAGCAGUCCAGUAAAUCAUCAAACAGACUCAUGACUGAAAAACAGCAGGAAGAAGCAGAAUGGGAGAGCAUAAAUGUGCUGUUGAUGACGCAUGGCUUAAAACCUUUAGUUCUAGUCAAAAGAACAGAUCUUAAAGAUCUCAUCGUUUUUGACAGACGGUCAUCACAAAGGAUGAGACAGAACUUGAAAACGUUGGUGGAAGAAACAGAGCGUCAACAGAACGUGAUCCAGGAGCUCAUAGAAACUAAUCAGCAGCUUAAAAAAGAAGUUCAGCUAGAAAAAUGCCGAGCAGUAGAUCAGGAACAACGAGCUAAUGACUUGGAACAAAUAAUGGAGAGUGUGAAAUCCAAAAUUGGUGAAUUGGAGGAUGAAUCCCUAAAUAGAGUUUGCCAGCAGCAGAAUAAAAUAAAAGAUCUUCAAAAGGAGCAUAAAGCUUUACAGGCAAAAUGUCAGCAUUACAAGAGAAAACAAAUGGAGCAACAAGAGACUAUUGCUUUUUUGCAAAAGGAUAUCUGUAGAUUAACAAAGGAGGAGGAAGAGCGCAUUGUCACUCAAAACAGAGUAUUUUCUUAUCUCUGCAAAAGAGUUCCUCAUACCAUCUUGGAUAGACAGUUACUUUGCCUAAUUGACUACUAUGAAUCUAAAAUUAGAAAACUUCAUAAACAAAGGCAAUAUAAAGAAGAUGAAAGUCAGUCAGAAGAAGACGACUACAGCAGUCUUGAUGCCUCACCAACUUAUAAAGGCCUUCUACUGUCAUUACAGAAUCAACUGAAGGAAUCAAAAUUUAAGAUUGAUGCACUUUUAAGUGAAAAGCUGAAUCUCCAAAAAGAUUUGGAAACCAGGCCCACACAGCAUGAAUUAAUACUUUAUAAACAGCAGGUGAAGAAACUGGAGAAAGCCCUAAAGAAAAGCAUCAAAUUACAUGAUUGUCUCAGUCAAAACAAGACUGAGGACACAGAGAAAAAAGAUGAUCCCAGCAAAGAUAACCAGCGGCAGGCCCUAAUUGACCAGAGAUACUUUCAGGUACUGAGUAGCAUCAAUUCAAUUAUUCACAACCCAAGAGCUCCAGUAAUACUUUAUAAACAGAGCAAAGGAGGAGUCCAACAUUUUAAUAAAGAUUUUGGUCAAGAUUGUGAAUUUGAGCAUCUUGUUCCUAUCCUAGAAAUGUGGGCAGAUCAACUGACUUCCCUGAAGGAUUUGUAUAAGUCCUUGAAAAUACUAUCUGCAGAAUUGGUGCCUUGGCAUAAUUUAAAGAAGCAGGAUGAAAAGGAAGGUAUCAUAGUUGAAGAUCUGUUGUUUAUGGUAGAUACCAUGUUGGAAGAAGUUGAAAAUAAGGAAAAGGACAGCAACAUACCAAACUUUAAAACUUUGCAAGCUAUUGUUUCUCAUUUCCAAAAAUUAUUUGAUGUGCCUUCUUUAAAUGGAGUCUAUCCCCGAAUGAAUGAAGUUUAUACUAGACUUGGAGAAUUGAACAGUGCUGUGAGAAACCUCCAAGAACUCUUAGAAUUAGAUAGUUCAUCCUCAUUGUGUGUGCUGGUAAGCACAGUUGGAAAAUUGUGUAGGCUGAUUAAUGAGGAUAUGAAUGAACAGGUUAUGCAGGUAUUGGGACCUGAAGACCUCCAAAGCAUUAUCAUCAAAUUGCAAGAACACGAGGAAUUUUUUCCAGCGUUUCAGGCAUUCACUAAUGAUCUACUUGAAAUCUUAGAUGUCAAAGUAAGCACCUAUAACUACAGAGUGAUGUACUGAAUAUCAGAUAUGGAGGUCUUUCUUCCGAAUUUCAUAUAAGCGGAGAAAAUUCUCAUAUUAGCCAAGAUUCUUCUCAUUUAUCAGAAAUUGAUAACUUGGAUGCCAUUGUACCUGCAGUAAAGAAAUUAAAAGUACUUUCAUACUGAAAACAAAUCAU